ACGUAGGGUGCGAGCGUUAAUCGGAAUUACUGGGCGUAAAGCGUGCGCAGGCGGUGAUGUAAGACAGAUGUGAAAUCCCCGGGCUCAACCUGGGAACUGCGUUUGUGACUGCAUCACUCGAGUACGGCAGAGGGAGGUGGAAUUCCGCGUGUAGCAGUGAAAUGCGUAGAUAUGCGGAGGAACACCGAUGGCGAAGGCAGCCUCCUGGGCCAGUACUGACGCUCAUGCACGAAAGCGUGGGGAGCAAACAG
rnacentral:rRNA from 1 species